rnacentral:lncRNA from 1 species
AUAUAGUUUCAUGUGAAGACCCAAGGUUCAAGGCCAAAUAUUGCAAAAGUAAAAAACUCAGUAGUUAGAUGAUACAUUAGAUAAAAAAGAUACACAGAUAUUUAAAUAGAUAAAAAUAAGUAAGUGGCCACUGAUUUAUUUAGUAUAAAGAAAAAGAUGGGCCAUAGAGUCUUCUUAAUGAAGAGGAGACUCUGGUUGUGGAACCCCAAGACAUGACCUCACUUCCUUGGCGACAUUACCUCACUUCCUUGGCAACAUCUCCAAACAGAACUUGGAACCCUUUUGAAUGGGCAUCACAAUCUACUAACAGCAGUCUCCCAAGCUCACUUGGCUGGAGACGGUCAACAUCGAACAUGCUGAGCUGCUUCUCCUCUUUGAGAGGCUGCAGCCUCAGGACUCCAGGCAGAGAAAGUAUCUGUGAAAGAUUAAGAAGACAGCUGACUCCAUCCAGACACCGCAGGCCAUGCUGCAGCAGCCGCACGACUGUCACAGACACCCCAGGGACAGUCUCCCUGGGAGUGACCACCAGUGACCUACUGAAAUCAAGCCCCUGGGCUCUGUCUGCAGCAUCUGCUUCUGCUUCCCCCAGUCCACCGAGUGUAACACACAGAGACACAUGUUGGGUGUUGUUUUGUGUUUAAACAGCUGAACACCUGGUUGUUAGUGUGCAGGUGCAUGGAACUCUGGAGAAGGGGUUUAAUCAAAGACAAACAAAAGUAAGAAUUCAUACAAGAAGCAGAUGAGGGCUUGGGUGUUGGGUUUAAGAUGCUUCUGUGUUCAAAAACAAAGAAGGAGGUGUGAGUCCCUUAGAUGUCUGAGACUGUAUAAAGUGCUGGUCAUACUAUUUAUUUUCAGAAAAGGGAUUUCUCUGAUAUAAUGACUUCUGUAUUUAUGACCCUAAAUGAGCCUACUGUAUCUUAUUUAGUUAUUGUGCUCAAUUUUCAAGAAUCAUAAAGAAUUUUACACAGAUGGUACCCAAAGUGAUCACUUUGCAUUGUUCUGUAAUUAAACUCUAAUAUGCCACAUACCAAAUAAUUGACCUAUUCAAUGCCAUCACAAGAGUUUAGCAGGAGAGAUGAAAUAAAUUUUG